rnacentral:sRNA from 1 species
UGCAUCUUCAGCUCAUGAGGAUGAGAACCUCCGGGGGCAGGGAGGUUCGACUCGAGCGAAGCGAGAGAACGUUGCGCCAGCAACGGCCCGCAGGGCGAGCCACGAAGUGGCGAGUAAUCCUCUAUCACCGACCA